UACGGAAGGCAGCAGUGGGGAAUAUUGCACAAUGGGCGAAAGCCUGAUGCAGCUAUGCCGCGUGUAUGAAGAAGGCCUUAGGGUUGUAAAGUACUUUCAUCGGGGAGGAAAAACAAAACUAAUAAUUUUAUUUCUUGACGUUACCCGAAAAAGAAGCACCGGCUAACUCCGUGCCAGCAGCCGCGGUAAUACGGAGGGUGCUAGCGUUAAUCAGAAUUACUGGGCGUAAAGAGCACGUAGGUGGUUUUUUUAAGUCAAGAUGUGAAAUCCCUGGGCUUAACCUAGGAACUGCAUUUUGAAACUGAAAUACUAGAGUAUCGUAGAGGGAGGUAGAAUUCUAGGUGUAGCGGUGAAAUGCGUAGAUAUCUGGAGGAAUACCUGUGGCGAAAGCGGCCUCCUAAACGAAUACUGACACUGAGGUGCGAAAGCGUGGGGAGCAAACAGGGAUUAGAUACC
rnacentral:rRNA from 1 species